AGAUGGCCGAGUGGUUAAGGCGUCGGCCUUAAGAUCCGAUGACGAAAGUCGCGUGGGUUCGAACCCCACUCUAUGCA